AAUUUCUUCACAACAAUCAUGUUUGAAAUAGAAAGUGCAAAUUACUAUAAGUACACAUUAAACGGAAGAUUCAAAGUAAGUUGUAUAUCUAACACCGAAACAUGAUACAACAAUAUUCAUAUAAAUGGCCAAUAAACUAGAAAAAUUACAAUUACAACGAAAAAUGAAAUCACAUUGUCCAUGUCUAAAAUGGAAAACGCUCAGCCCUUACUCAGAAAUGCCUUAUUAUCCCAGUCGAAACAGUACUCUGCAAACUUGAAACACAAUACAAUAUCUUAGCAGUGCAAUAAGAAUUUCGAUUUUCUUUAUCUUGGAGGAACCACGGGGCGAACUGGUGGAGCUCAUCACCUUCCGCCACAGCGACAUAAGUUCGUCGACACACUUACCUUCCAACUUUCCUCACAUACAAUGUGAUCUCGCAAUUAAGGCUAGAUUCAUUCCAACACUGACCAUUUGCUCAAGAGAAGCAGAAACCUCGUGUGCACUGUACUUUUUCCUAUGUCCUUUCCCUUUCCUAUGGUCGCAUUUCCUUUUUUUUACCUACUGUGUUUGCCAAAAAUAUUCAUGGACGAGUUAGCUCUAUCAUCAAGUAAGCAUAGAUCUGGAGAUCUCGAAUAGGGCAACAACUGGAAUCGGUUGUCUCCGCGUUGAUUGGCAACUCGUUGCCUCCGUCCUUUCUUUCACUAUUGUGCCCAAGUCAAAACCACGUUGAGAUAGCUUCGAUGGGGAAAACGCAUACUUCAUUGAGUCACCAGUGUCGUCAAACAAUUUUUCAUGCGUGUCAUAUAUCUCGCUACAGUUAAAAUUUCUGUACUUUGCAUAUUUUGGGUUCUCUUGAAUUGACAAUGAACACAACAAAUUACAUUUGUCUAUAUAAUUAUAUGUAAAUUCAAAAAUUAAUGUCAAACAGAGAAAUGGAUUGUGGGGAUCAAGACUAAAUGGAGAGGAACGACAACUCAUUGACAAAAUUACACGAAUAGCACUAAUCCAUGGUAUUUUCCACCACAGUAUCAAGUUCAAUACAAUUUAUAUAAACUUGUAACACACUUCAACAUACAAAGACGUACUCAUCUUUGGGGAGGGUGUAUAUGAUUCAACUCUCAAUUGUCCCCAAUUCACGAUACAAACAAUUUCAGAAUUAAAUCUUCUACAUUGCUGUGUUAGGAAUUUCAAGUAAUGCACAGUGUUUAGCACGGCAAUAUCAAGUUAGACAUAAUUUGCAGAAACUCGUAUUGGGCAGUCAACAUACAAAAAUUCAUAAUAGACAUUUAACAUGUUGAAACUGAUUUAUUCCACAAAUGAACUUGAAAAUUAAAUGCCAAACACGUUUGAGAUAUAAUGUUUUGCGAGGAAAUCCCCCCCCCCCCCCAAAAAAAAAUCACUGAACUUUGCAGAAAAUUCCCUAGGACGGCACCGAACUUCAGUACGUCCCUGAAUGGUCAUCGAACUUUUUUGAAAUCCCCCAAGAGGUCAUCGAACUUCAAAACGCCCUUGAAUGGUCACUGAGCUUUGCAAAAAAUCUCUAGGAGGUCACUCGACUAGUUAUUUAUGGGGUCCCAAUUUACAAUAUUGAGUGACCUCUCUGGGGGAUUUUAGCAAAGUUCAGUGACCAUUUAGGGACGUAUUGACGUUCGGUGACCUCUUGGGGGAUUCGACCACAAAGACGAGGUUGAGAGAGGUGAUGGCUGACCGGAAAAUGAAGACUUAGUGGUUGUGGGACUAUCGACUAGUAACCGGUAAAAAAUUGAACAAGCAGGUUUGUUUGGUCAAAAUUCUUAUCGGUUUGUUUCGUGUGAAAAGCUCUGAUUGCAACACAGUAAAACGGCACAAUAUGGAGAAGGAGAGAAUGAAAUUGAAGGGUUAAAAUG
rnacentral:lncRNA from 1 species